AGCGAACACUGGCGGCAGGCCUAACACAUGCAAGUCGAACGGACCCUUCGGGGUUAGUGGCGGACGGGUGAGUAACACGUGGGAACGUGCCUUUAGGUUCGGAAUAGCUCCUGGAAACGGGUGGUAAUGCCGAAUGUGCCCUUAGGGGGAAAGAUUUAUCGCCUUUAGAGCGGCCCGCGUCUGAUUAGCUAGUUGGUGAGGUAAUGGCUCACCAAGGCUACGAUCAGUAGCUGGUCUGAGAGGAUGACCAGCCACAUUGGGACUGAGACACGGCCCAAACUCCUACGGGAGGCAGCAGUGGGGAAUCUUGCGCAAUGGGCGAAAGCCUGACGCAGCCAUGCCGCGUGAAUGAUGAAGGUCUUAGGAUUGUAAAAUUCUUUCACCGGGGACGAUAAUGACGGUACCCGGAGAAGAAGCCCCGGCUAACUUCGUGCCAGCCGCCGCCGUAAGAC
rnacentral:rRNA from 1 species